GACAGAGGGGGCAAGCGUUGCUCGGAAUUACUGGGCGUAAAGGGCGCGUAGGCGGGAUGGCAAGUCGGUCGUGAAAUCCCUCUGCUCAACCGAGGAACGUCGAUCGAUACUGCUGUUCUUGAGGAUUGCAGAGGAGACUGGAAUUCCCGGUGUAGCGGUGAAAUGUGUAGAGAUCGGGAGGAACACCGGUGGCGAAGGCGGGUCUCUGGGCAAUUCCUGACGCUGAGGCGCGAAAGCGUGGGGAGCAAACGGG
rnacentral:rRNA from 1 species